GUCCCCCAUUCAGGAAUUGUCCAUUCCUCCCAGUGGGUGUUGGCAGCAUGUUCGAUGGAGACCACUAAUGAGGAGCUUCCCCUUCCCUAAGCUCCUCUGGAUUCUCAAGGAUGUGUGAACCAGGGAAGCGAGUGGUGGUAAAGGAUUUCUAGGCCCGUCAUUUUCUUUUUCUGAGGUCUGGGUUUGAAAGUGGUAGAGCAUUUACCAAUUCUUCUCCAUGGCAGGUCCUACAAGAGGGAUGGAGAAGAGAAAUUCUGAAUAUAUGACAUGUCUGGAUUUUACAAAGGUGUUUCACUAAUGAUAUCUGUAGGAGACUGGGGCCCCCUAAAGAUCCUGGGUCCUGAUCCCUGAAUCCUAUGAGUGUUACAUUAUACAGUUAAGUCUUUGCAGAGGUGAUUAAGUUAAAGAUCUUGAGCUGGAGAUAUUAUCCUGGAUUAUCCAGCUGGGCCCUAAAUGCCAUCACUUGUAUCCUUACUUAAGAAAGAGGCCAAGGGAGGUUUUAUAAUGACACUCACAGGAGGGAAGUGUUUUAGUUAGUUUUUUCAUUUCUGUUACUAAAAGACCAGAACAAUUGUGGAGGAGAAAAAGUUUAUUUGGGGGCUCAUAGUUUCAGAGGUCUCAAUCCAUAGAGAGCAAGUUCCAUUCCUCAGGGCUCAAGGUGAGGCAGAACACCAUGGUGGAAGAGUGUGGCAGAGAGAAGCAGAUCACAGGAUGAUUAGGCAGCAGAGAGAGAGAGAUCUCCACUUGCCAGAUACAAAUAUAUACCCAAAGCCACGCCCCCAAUGCCCCACCUCCUCUGGACAUGCCCCCACCUGCCUCCAGUUACCUCCUUUUAUUCCUAUCCCGUGAUUCAUUCACUGAUUGGGUUAAGGCUCUUGUAACCCAAUCAUUUCUCCUCUGAACUUUCUUGCACUGUCUCACACUGGAGCUCUGGGGGACACCUCAGAUCCAAGCCAUAAUAGCAGGCAAUGUAAAGAUGGAGCACGGGAGGCUUUGAAGAUGCUGGCCCUGAAGACGAGAGUGAUGCAGCCCGCCCAAGCCAAGAAGCUCAAGAGGCAAGAAGCAAUUUCUCCCCUAGAGUCUCUGGAGGGAGUGUGGCCUUGAUUGUGGCACAGUGAAACCAAUGUUUGAUUUCUGAUCUCUAGAACCGUC
rnacentral:lncRNA from 1 species